GAAUUUAUCAUUGUCAAAUUAUUAUUAUGCUGCAAAUACGUUAAGUUUCUAUACGCCGUCGUAUUCGUGUAACGUAAUAUGAUUAAUAGAAAAUAACAUCAGCAAAACAACAAUGUACGAUCGAGACCAAAUCGACGUAUUAUGUGUAUUAUAGGUACGUAAACCGCAUAAUAUGUUUUCGUCCAUAAGAGGAUUCGAGGGGUCGUGCCUAUUGCGACGAAACGUUUGAAGGAAAAAUUAAAUUCAUCGACUCGAAAACAAUUCGAAUUCGCUUUCGCGUACAUAAUUUUUACUGUCCCCGGAUUUUCGCCAGUUGUUUGAAAACGUUCGAAUAUCUUCGACGCCAGCUAAUAAACACCGUUCUUACGGUCGCGCUACAAAAUACGUGUAGUUAUUUUUUCCGUAAGCGCUUAAAACCUGACCGUUUUAAAUUCGAGUUGUGAUGAAAAUGGUACAAAUAAUUUACAAGUAGUUC